UUAAAGGUAGAUUAUUUUAAAUUAUUAGACUCAUAAUCUAAAGAUACCUUAUGGUCCUUUAAA
rnacentral:tRNA from 1 species